rnacentral:rRNA from 1 species
AGUGAACGCUGGCGGUAGACCUAACACAUGCAAGUCGAACGGCAGCACAGUAAGAGCUUGCUCUUACGGGUGGCGAGUGGCGGACGGGUGAGGAAUACAUCGGAAUCUACUUUUUCGUGGGGGAUAACGUAGGGAAACUUACGCUAAUACCGCAUACGACCUACGGGUGAAAGCAGGGGAUCUUCGGACCUUGCGCGAUUGAAUGAGCCGAUGUCGGAUUAGCUAGUUGGCGGGGUAAAGGCCCACCAAGGCGACGAUCCGUAGCUGGUCUGAGAGGAUGAUCAGCCACACUGGAACUGAGACACGGUCCAGACUCCUACGGGAGGCAGCAGUGGGGAAUAUUGGACAAUGGGCGCAAGCCUGAUCCAGCCAUACCGCGUGGGUGAAGAAGGCCUUCGGGUUGUAAAGCCCUUUUGUUGGGAAAGAAAAGCAGCAGGUUAAUACCCCGAUGUUCUGACGGUACCCAAAGAAUAAGCACCGGCUAACUUCGUG